GAACGAGCGAAGGACUUCGGUCCCUAGCGAGUGGCGGACGGGUGAGUAACACGUGAGGAACCUACCUUCAAGUGGGGAAUAACUGCCAGAAAUGGCAGCUAAUACCGCAUGUGGUUGUCUGUUGGCAUCUGCGGACAACUAAAGAUUUAUCGCUUGGAGACGGCCUCGCGGCCUAUUAGCUUGUUGGUGGGGUAAUGGCCUACCAAGGCGAUGAUGGGUAGCUGGUCUGAGAGGACGAUCAGCCACACUGGGACUGAGACACGGCCCAGACUCCUACGGGAGGCAGCAGUGAGGAAUUUUCCGCAAUGGGCGCAAGCCUGACGGAGCAACGCCGCGUGUGUGAUGAGGUCCUUCGGGAUGUAAAGCACUGUCCGAGGGGAUGAAUAAAUGACAGUACCCUCGAAGAAAGCCCCGGCUAACUACGUG
rnacentral:rRNA from 1 species